AAAGGCUACACUUCAGGGAAAAGUGCAUUUGAUUAAGGUUUUUAAGGUAAAGGCAACGGUUAAUAUUUUUUGUGAUGUCUUUUUUAAUAUAAGUUCAUUGGAUACUGAUUCCUAUUGCAUAACCAAAAUCAAGUUGUGAUUGUUGGCGCUUCCAAUUGGUGGAAUUUUCGUAUUCACUAGUAAUGUUACUUAUAUAUCUCUCCGGUCACAAAUAUAAGCAAAAAUAUAUUUUUUAGAUUCAUUGAAUAACAAAUAUAUCUUGUCUAUAUAUAUUAUAGUCCAAAUACAUAUCUUAUUCAAUAAAUCUAAAAAAUGCAUUUUUCUUAUAUUUAUGGCAGGAGGAAAUAUGUAUUAGUAACCGGAGAAACAAUAUUGUUUACAUUUAAUCUUAGAAUUUAAAGUAAGAAAGGUAGUGGUUGAUAUUGUAACGAUUCAUAAUUUGUCAUACAAGUAUUUUUAAUAUCAGUCAUUAGUUUGUUUAUAUAUGAUCAGUUGUUGCAUAAAAAAAAUAUGAUUCGUUGAAAUCAAUCUUACAAAAUCGGUUUGUAAGGUGAACAUUGUCUCUACUUUAUAAACACAUAUUCAUGUCAUCUUGUAAAGUUUUGCCUACCUAGAAGAGCCCCUCGGUCUGUAAUGUUGUCACACAAGAUAAGCAUGCCUCUCGCCAGUUGACCGGACGAAUCGAAGUUAUCUUUUGGUCAACUGUCCACCCAGUCAAGUGGAAAACACACAGUUGAAUCACGCUACACACGUUGCUGGUGUGCUUCCUUCCCGCGAGGUAAGGAUUGUCUUAUCUUAUAAACACAUAUUCAGACCAUCUCACAACCGACGAGGAACUUCUUAUCGGGUGCAGAUAUGAAUGAUGGAUGACCCGAUCAAAAACCUGAUAGCAGGUGGCCCAGCGGAUCGUGGAAUUGGCUGUGAUAACAUCUUUAUAAAAUUGAGAGUUGUGUUAGAUUUAGAGAAAUACAAAUAGAGAGGACAAUGGAGGCUACUAGGAUUUCAUCAUAGUGAACCAAAAAAUAUGAGUACAAAAGUUACAACUUACAAUAUAUAGUAAGUAAACAAAAAAUAAAAACUAAACUAUACGUUAAGCUCAAUUAACAUUAGGCCCAAUGACAUAAGGCCCAAUAACUUAUUAUCUAACAGUUUCUAACUCAACCCAACAAAAUCAGCUUGUAAGGUUAGGAUUGUCUCUACUUUAUAAACAUAUAUUCAGGCCACCUCGCAACCGAUGUGAGACUUAUUUACCGUAAGUAAUUAGAUUUCAUUGUUUAGAUUUGUAAAAAAUGAAUGGAGUGAAUGAAAUACAAUGGAAUCCAUUCCAUCCAAUCCUUCAUUUUUUU
rnacentral:lncRNA from 1 species